GAUGAACGCUGGCGGCGUGCCUAAUACAUGCAAGUCGAGCGAAUGGAUUAAGAGCUUGCUCUUAUGAAGUUAGCGGCGGACGGGUGAGUAACACGUGGGUAACCUGCCCAUAAGACUGGGAUAACUCCGGGAAACCGGGGCUAAUACCGGAUAACAUUUCGAACCGCAUGGUUCGAAAUUGAAAGGCGGCUUCGGCUGUCACUUAUGGAUGGACCCGCGUCGCAUUAGCUAGUUGGUGAGGUAACGGCUCACCAAGGCAACGAUGCGUAGCCGACCUGAGAGGGUGAUCGGCCACACUGGGACUGAGACACGGCCCAGACUCCUACGGGAGGCAGCAGUAGGGAAUCUUCCGCAAUGGACGAAAGUCUGACGGAGCAACGCCGCGUGAGUGGUGAAGGCUUUCGGGUCGUAAAACUCUGUUGUUAGGGAAGAACAAGUGCUAGUUGAAUAAGCUGGCACCUUGACGGUACCUAACCAGAAAGCCACGGCUAACUACGUGCCAGCAGCCGCCGCAG
rnacentral:rRNA from 1 species